UACAGAGGGGGCAAGCGUUGUUCGGAAUUACUGGGCGUAAAGCGCGCGUAGGCGGCUUCGCAAGUCAGAGGUGAAAGCCCGGGGCUCAACCCCGGAACUGCCUUUGAGACUGCGUCGCUAGAAUCCAGGAGAGGUGAGUGGAAUUCCGAGUGUAGAGGUGAAAUUCGUAGAUAUUCGGAAGAACACCAGUGGCGAAGGCGGCUCACUGGACUGGUAUUGACGCUGAGGUGCGAAAGCGUGGGGAGCAAACAGG
rnacentral:rRNA from 1 species